CAAGUUGGAAUUGGACUGGAGACUACAAUAAACUUGAGACUACAAUAGACUGGAGACUACAAUAAACUGGAGACUACAAUAGAAUUAGACUGCUCCCUAUAGAUGACACGUGGUCAUGUCUCCUUUUAGACUAGUGUUGUUGAGUCUCGGGUUUACUUUAGUCCACAUCGCCACCUCCCCUGAGCGUGAUGUACAGUAUAAUGUGCUUCACCAAGAGAUGAGCCUGAAGGAAGCUUCUUUCAUCAUCGUAUACAUCACCCAAGCAUUAGCAGCACCAGUAGUUACGCUAACUAUGCGCUACUAUUGCUGCACCCAGAACUCUGCUCU